GACGAACGCUGGCGGCGUGCCUAAUACAUGCAAGUGGGACGCAAGGGAACACACUGUGCUUGCACACCGUGUUUUCUUGAGUCGCGAACGGGUGAGUAACGCGUAGGUAACCUGCCUAUUAGCGGGGGAUAACUAUUGGAAACGAUAGCUAAUACCGCAUAAUAUUAAUUAUUGCAUGAUAAUUGAUUGAAAGAUGCAAGCGCAUCACUAGUAGAUGGACCUGCGUUGUAUUAGCUAGUUGGUAAGGUAAGAGCUUACCAAGGCGACGAUACAUAGCCGACCUGAGAGGGUGAUCGGCCACACUGGGACUGAGACACGGCCCAGACUCCUACGGGAGGCAGCAGUAGGGAAUCUUCGGCAAUGGACGAAAGUCUGACCGAGCAACGCCGCGUGAGCGAAGA
rnacentral:rRNA from 1 species